CGAGGGGAGCAAGCGUUGUUCGGAUUUACUGGGCGUAAAGGGCGCGUAGGCGGUCGUGACAAGUCACUUGUGAAAUCUCCGGGCUUAACUCGGAACGGUCAAGUGAUACUGUCGGACUAGAGUACAGAAGGGGCAACUGGAAUUCUCGGUGUAGCGGUGAAAUGCGUAGAUAUCGAGAGGAACACCUGCGGCGAAGGCGGGUUGCUGGGCUGAUACUGACGCUGAUGCGCGAAAGCCAGGGGAGCGAACGGGAUUAGAUACCCCGGUAGUCCUGGCCUUAAACGAUGAAUGCUUGGUGUCUCGGGUUACAUAGUCCCGGGGUGCCGUCGCUAACGCUUUUAGCAUUCCGCCUGGGGAGUACGGUCGCAAGACUG
rnacentral:rRNA from 1 species